AACAGUUUGAAGCAAAGCCUUUUCAAUGGGAAUGCUGCAAUUUUGUUGCACUUACUCUGUACUUAGUGUUAUAGUGCCACCAAGAAACAAAUUCUGAAACUGGCAAGCACCACCAAGUGGCAGAAGAACAUCACUCAUUGAGCAGAGAAUUGUAUUACUGAAUAUGUAAAUAAAAAUAUAUACAUUAUUUAGACUUGUCACUAGGUACCAAAGAAGUAGACAAGACUGCAUUAGCAAUUGGAUUAGUGCUUUAACUUUUCCCCAGCAAGGCAAAAUCAGUUUACUUAUUAGAAUUAAAUUUAAGUCUAUGAACUGUACUUUGCAUUGCGUAUCAUAUGAUUGCUAGUAAUAUGACACAAUCAUACCAUGUAUUUGCAAAAUUCUUAUUUUAAAAUACUAUACCAUAUUUACUUUCAAUCUUCUUGAGCUAGAACACUUUAUUUGUGGCAUAUACACUCUAGAAUUGAUGCAGAGGAGCAGAGUCCAGUUGUUAGAUUUUUCAGUAGAAAUAGUGCAGAUAUAUUUUCUCCAGAAAACUUAAGAACAUUUUUUUUUCUCAUGGAAAGAACAUCAUUAUAAAGUGUGAGAUUACUCACAGCUUAAGUAGGGGGCUUGGGAGUUAUUCUCCAACAAGAAUAGUUUAAGAUAAAUAAAUGAACCUGGGAAAAUAAGAUACACUGCCAAUCAGAACUCUUAUCUCCUUCAUGAUUUCAUACUUUCUGAUUGCUUCAAUAAAGGUAAGAUGUAUCCUUUGCUUCUUAGGUGUCAGGCAUUGUGCCAUGUAGGAUAGAACAUGUUAUUUUUAUUUAAUCUUUAAAACACCCCUAUGAGACAAAGAAUAUUAUCUCAUUUUAUAUAAAAGGAAUAUGGCUUUGAAAGCAUCAGGCAACUUGCCCCAAGAAACAAAUCUCGUCAGUGACACUGCUGGGACUCUGUGAAAUUCUGCCUGACUUCAGAGCACAAGACAUAAGUCACUAAUUUCUGCUGUAUUGCUGCCUGUUAGCUUCUGAGAGGGGAAACUAACUGGGAACGUAUCAGUUCUGUCCAUGAUACUUCAUUUGCCCUUUCUGUGGAGCCGCAGUAAGGCCCAAACUUUAAUUCUCAAACUUCGGCAAUAAGAUCCAGUGAUUUCUGAACCUGGUUGAUCAUAUGAAUUCCUUGAGAAACUUUGAAACAAUAGACAAAUUCCAAGUCCCACUAUCAGGGAUUCAGAAAAUCUGGAGUUGGGCCUUGGGAUCCACAUUUCAAUAUUCAUCCUUGUUGGAGAAGUAAGGUACCACCUAUACCUAUAUGACAAAUGAAAGGAUAC
rnacentral:lncRNA from 10 species